rnacentral:lncRNA from 1 species
CACCAAACCAAAUCACACACCCACCAAACCAAGCCAUUUGCUUUGCCUAUAAAUAGGCAUUCUAUUUGCUUGUAAUGUAAGAUGAAAUGAGAGAAGAUGAAGGGAAGGAAGAAAGAGGGUGAGUGUGUGAAGAGAAAGAGAGCAAAGAGAAAUUCUCCUAGAGAGAAAAUUAGGUGAGCAUACAUAUUGUAAACACUAGAGUUGUAACCAUAUUAUGUUAUGAAUGAAAGGUUACUGUUGCUGCUCUCCGAGGACGUAGGCAUAGCCGAACCUCGUUAAAUGCUGUGUCUCAUCUACUUUACGUGCAGUUCAAUAUUCGCUCAUAUCCCCGUUCAUUUUAUAACAAAAUAU